rnacentral:rRNA from 1 species
UUGUCUCAAAGAUUAAGCCAUGCAUGUCUCAGUACAAGCCAAAUUAAGGUGAAACCGCGAAAGGCUCAUUAAAUCAGUUAUGGUUCCUUAGAUCGUACACACAUUUACUUGGAUAACUGUGGUAAUUCUAGAGCUAAUACAUGCAAACAGAGCUCCGACCGGAGACGGAAGGAGCGCUUUUAUUAGAUCAAAACUAAUCGGCGGCGGGUUCGCCCGUUCGUCGUACAACUUGGUGAAUCUGAAUAACUUUCUGCUGAUCGCAUGGUCUCGCACCGGCGACGCAUCUUUCAAAUGUCUGCCUUAUCAACUGUCGAUGGUAGGUUCUGCGCCUACCAUGGUUGUAACGGGUAACGGGGAAUCAGGGUUCGAUUCCGGAGAGGGAGCCUGAGAAACGGCUACCACAUCCAAGGAAGGCAGCAGGCGCGCAAAUUACCCACUCCCGGCACGGGGAGGUAGUGACGAAAAAUAACGAUACGGGACUCAUCCGAGGCCCCGUAAUCGGAAUGAGUACACUCUAAACUCUUUAACGAGGAUCAAUUGGAGGGCAAGUCUGGUGCCAGCAGCCGCGGUAAUUCCAGCUCCAAUAGCGUAU